GAAAGCCCCACUUCCCCAAGACCAUGUGUGACUAUCAGGAGUGUCUAUUUUUCAUUUCAUUUCAUCCUGCCCAUGUGACGAGACGAAACGUCCGCGCACUGGGCAGCUCUCUGAUUUUUUCCGCUAAAUUGUCUUCUUGGAAAGUGCUUGCUUGUCCUCUUUGCAGCUCCACAAAACUGCCCGUGACCUUUGGAAUGAUUGGGAACAUUUUCAGGAAGCUGAAUUGACGAGAGAAGGAUUGUGCAACCUUUCCGUGAGUUGGGUCUAAAAUCGUCUUCAGUCGGAGGGUUCUGAGGAAUUGAAGGGAAGAGGUAUUGCGGAGCAUGCGUAUCUGUAGUCCGGUACAUGUGUCUCUGUGUGUAGGGAUUUGGACGUCAAGUAGGAGAUUUCGAGAGGCUUAUUCAAGAGCUCGCAAGCAUUGUGGCCUUUUGUGCUUGUAUCAUCUUUUAUGGAAGGAUUUGCGUGGUCGAAGAGCCUCGCGAGUACUUGGGACGCUAUUUGCGAGUAAGAGUCUGCUUUCCUUACGCGGAGCAUUUUCUUAAUUCGUUAGUGCGUUGAGUUAUUAGUUUCCGUUGAAAUCUUUAGAAAAGGUCCAACGAUCUUUGUUUCAGCAAACAAUGGUUUCAAAUUUGCGUUGAAGCCCAAGGUGGCAAUUAUCACAGUUUCUUCAUGUACGGGUCCAACAUUGGCUGAAAUAAACCAACGCGUACCAGAAUACGAAUCAGAAGUUAGCGCCUCAGCAUUCUCUUGAAACCAGCUUUUGUAUGUUUCUCUAUAGCUCUGUGGUGGCUUCAAAUCCAGCAAAUUGUAUCACGGUAUGCGGGUCCCAAAGAGUGGCACUAUUAUGGAUGAUUUCAUCAGAUGUUUCUCAGAGGCUCACAACCCCGUUGGUUUUAUGCGGCAAGUAAAGUGCAGUUCUGAAUUGCUUGGACGCUUGAUAUAACUUAGGUAGGCUGUUUAGGGUUUCAGAAGAGCCACAUCGGUCACUUAUAUCAAUUAUAAGCUGGAGAUCUCACCUACUGCGUUACUCUUCUAUACUUCAUCAUGAAAUUGGCGAAUCUCGGUUAGAAUUGACUGCACCUACGGAAGCCUUAUGAGGUCGAAAUAUCAUGUUCUGUGGCGUCCUUGUACUCCAGCACUUGAGAAUUUUGUCGUCUGGUGUGGGCUUGCCUUUGUGAGCUUGAAGAAAUGCCGAGGCGGACACCCACAUUAUCAUCGCCUGUGUCGCAACUUCGCUUUUUGAGCAGCGGAUGGGUUUGCCUUGUCGUCCUUUAGAUCCCCAAUCUCUGUAAUGUCUGCUCAUACCCAACAUCCCGAGAUUCAGCAGAAUUAUGUCCGAUGCUUCUGCCUGAUAUUUAACAUUUCACAUCCCGGAAAUUGCGGAAGUAUGAGUUUCUAUCGGAAUAAGUACUCUACAGCCUGCAGAUUACGCAAGAAUUGUAGCGUUGGGAAAGGAUUUCUCAGCAGCCUUCAUCAACAAGAGAGAAUCUACCGUACCGUACACGGCUGCUUCGAAUUUCGGAGACGAGUUUACCUGUGUUUUUUCAAGGUAUUGAUACCCAUAUCUUUGUGUUUGGUUCGCUGAUUCUCAAAUCGAAAUCUUACCAUGUGCACGCUAAUUAGUGUAGCGAGAAAUAGUUGGUUGCAUGGUUACCGCUUCUGUAUUUCAGUAGACAUCAUGCUAAUUCCGUUGAUCAAACAUGUAAUUGAUUCAGACAAAAAGAUUUUUUUAUCUCGUUCUAGAUAAUCCUUUCUUUGUUGUGAGCAUUUGCAGCAGUGCGAGCCACUUGAUACUCCUCUCGUAUCCUUAUAGAUAACUAACUCAUCCUGUAACAGCUUGUGGUCAGCAUCUGCUCGUCAAGUUGGUCAUAUUCAAAAAUUGCCUAUCUGCAUGAGCUAAGUCAAGUUUUGCACGUUGAGCAUGUUGGGUUUCUGCAAGGCAUACGCUUGUUGAUGUACUGAAAUAACGGCGGGCAUAUAUGUUAUUUCCACCACUGCAGAGAACACAGUGUGGUGCUCUUACGUCUGUAAAUUGAUAGUCAACCAUUGCCUUAGAAUUUUCUGAUGCACUCUGUCCACAAUUCAUGUAUUUUCUGUAGGUAAUCAAUGCACAGUACAGGAUCUACGUAAAUGUCAUCAAUAUGUUAUCAGUGGACUUGUAUUACGACUAAUUUUUUUGCUAAAUGGUGUGAGUAGCUACUAGCAAAAAUUUGAGAUGGCGAAGAGCAGGGCCGUAAUAUUAUGCUAGGAACAAAAUGGGAACGAGGUUGGUCUUCUUAACGGGGAUCAGACAAAACACAUUUUGUGCAGGAAAGAGAAUAUGAACGGGUUUGAUCUUAUUUUGAGUUUUUGUUAAGCAGCUGUGUACAUCAGAAUCAUCUUCUAAAUUAGAUAGUUUCAGAGUGACAAGUUGAAGAUGAUGUCAUUGUGGUUUGAGGCAGAAACGAGUACAAUUAGGAGAACAUCGACACAUUUUGUUGGUGUUCCUCAAAUUUUAAGGCACUGAUGGCUAUAUUGCUCUAUUUCGACUGAGAUGGCAUGACCGGGUCGCUGAUUCAGUUCAAGUUCAUUUUGUACAAUUUAAGGAAUUGCACUAGACUUAGCACUCUCGCAAUGGCUGUGAUAUUCAGCAAUGAGAUAAGCCGUGAACUUGCGUGCUCUAGCUGUUGGAGUUGUGGUCUUGUGAGGAUCGUUGUUUGUUGGCCGUUCUCUUAGGCUCCCGCACCCCAUCGUGGCCGGCAUUCAUGAAGAAGCUAGAUCCUUUGUUACUGGAGGUCCCAAUCUCGUCCCCAAUCAGAGGGAAUAUGCAGGCUUUGAUUCGCGGUGGCGACGAUCCCUUGGACGUAGGAUGUCCGGCUGUUCUAGGAACUCCAGUACUUUCUGGUUUCUUACACGCCUGGCGAUUCCUGAGUACGAAAUUCUUCUGCGCGGUGCUGCCUCUCGUGCCUAGCCUUCCUAACAGUUCGAUAGACACCUAUUUCAAAUUCAUAUUCGUAGCUCUGUCUCUCUCCAUCAGAAGUUUAAAUUCUGCUCUAAGUUCGGUCACUCAGGGUGGAGGAAUAUUUGACAAGAAUCAUGUCAUUUAACGGUCUAGGGAAUCAUUAGCAACCGACCUUGCAAAGGAGGUAAGGAUUUGCAAUCCUGUUCUGUGUGGAACGCAAUUGGGUGGAGGAAUGGCAAGGCAUAGGGUUUUCUUACCACGUCGUGAUCGGGUGCGGUCUUGAUUUGAAACGUGCUUAGAACCCCUCUUGCUUUUUAUCUUCGGUGUGUUGGGGGCUCCACUGGUCGUUUGUAUUGGACUUGGAGGUGAGGAAUUUCUGCUCGAGGUGUCCCUGCCGGAAUUGCUCUUCGAUGGGGUUUUCGAGGCUCUUACCUUACCUUCCAUUGUCACUUCCGCAAAUCUUAAGCCUCCUGUUACAAAAGCACAACCUCCAAGUCACGGCAGCUGCCGUUAAGCAUCACUUCACAGGGAGUGUUUGUAUAUUCUGUUCUUACGAGGAGAUUUUCUCGGAUUCUUCUUUCAUAGUCGAAAAUGGACUCAGCUCUAUGAAAUUCGUCGUCCAAACCAAUGGUCGUUUGUUGUGGCACGAAGGAGCCGUUUCUUACAGACGUGACGUUUGAGGAUGUCAGGAAACUGAGAGUUGCUUCGUCUAUUCUGUCAUUACUUCUUGAAGAGGCUACUUUUGGAUCUUUAUAAGUUUUGAGUGUGGAGCAUUGCUGCUAGCAGAUAGAGUUGGUGGCGGCAUUGCGGCAGUAGCCAGUUGUCUAAUAAGGCCUUCUUCGAACUGUCCCGAAGAAUUGGAAUAUGGAGCUGUUUAUUGAUUUAUCUAUUUCAUAUCUCACUUUUAUUUA